AGCAGCAGCCGCGGGAAAACGGAGGGUGCAAGCGUUAAUCGGAAUGACUGGGCGUAAAGGGCGCGUAGGCGGCGAUCAAAGUCAGGCGUGAAAUUCCUGGGCUCAACCUGGGGGCUGCGCUUGAUACUUGGUUGCUUGAGUGGGGAAGAGGGUCGUGGAAUUCCCAGUGUAGAGGUGAAAUUCGUAGAUAUUGGGAAGAACACCGGUGGCGAAGGCGGCGACCUGGUCCUUGACUGACGCUGAGGCGCGAAAGCGUGGGGAGCAAACAGGAUUAGAUACCCCGGUAGUCCCUGUCUCUUAUAC
rnacentral:rRNA from 1 species